rnacentral:lncRNA from 1 species
UGAAAAUUUGUUUUCAAACUUUUGAUUUUUAGAUAUAUGAAUUCAUAAAUUACUAUUAAGUAAAUAAAUUACAAAUGUUAGUGUUUUUAUGCAUGUAAAAAAGUGCCUCAGAUAUUAGAGCAUAUAUCAAUACAAAUAAGGAAAAUAAAGCUGUCGAAGUUAAGAAAUUUGUUCAGGGUCACAGGAUUCCUGACUCCUAGAGCCAUAUCUUCCCUAAUAUAUUACAUUAUCUCUUGAGGCAAAAGGGAAGAGAUUAUAUAUAGUCUAAGAAGAGGAAGAUAACACAAGAAAUGAUUAAGAAAUGAGCAUUGAUGGGAAAAGAGCAGAAAUGACAUAAGACAGUACAAUGCAGUAGAAAAAGCAUUGGACCAGAAAUCAGGGAAAUCUGGAUUCUUUCCACAGUAUGAGCACUCACUAGCUCUGUGAACUAGAACAAGUCACCCCACCUAUCCAGAUCAUCGUUUCGUAAUAAAGCACCUGGCUAUAGGAUUCCGGGUACUUCCACCCAAAAAUAAAUGCUUAAAGUGGUAUUAUAACAGCAGUGUCAUUGCUCCCACACAUAUAAAGCAGUAAGAUAGAAAAAAGUAGAAAUUUUGAAAAUCAAGGCAACAGGAAAAUAGAGAUAGAUGAAAAUGAACAAAAAAGAUGCAAAGAAAUUCAAGUCAAAGUUCAAUAUAAAUACAAAAGUCAAAGGGAGUAAGUUCAAUGAUUAAUUUGUCUCUUAGGUUCCUGGAAACCAAAGUGAAAAGGGAAACAAUCAGCUACAAGAAACAGUAUUGCACCAUGGUUACAAGAGCAGGUUUUGGCGUAAGACAGCUACUUCCUGACUGCAAGACCUCAGUUGGCCUCUCCCCGGUGCCAUGAAAACUUCAUGGGUAUGAGGAGGCAGCUGGCCCUGGAUUCUAAGUCCAGUUCCACCACUUCCUGGCCAGUGACCUUGGGCAAAGGCAUUUGCCUUCUUGGAGCCUAGUCUUCAAAAUGAGGCAAAUAAUACGGAC